UAUAAAUAUAUAUAUAUAUAUAUAUCCAUAAAUAACUUUUUUAAACUCUGAACCGAUUAAAAUAGAAAUGAAAAAUAUAGAAAAACAAGAACAUACAAGACACCAAAAGAAAAUCACAUUUCAUAUCUCUACAAGACAAAUGAGGUUUUAUUGUUCUUUUAGAGACUAGAAUAUAAUUCUAUGAGAAAAAAAAGAAGCAAAUUUUUAAUACAUGUACAUUGUCGUAAUUUGUAUCAGGUAAUUUCAUAGGUUUAUGGAAGAUCUUUACAUUUUGUUUCUCAAUUAUUUGUAUAUUAAUUAUUCUUACUUAUGUUAAUUUGUGAACAUAAGUAAAUAAUUGAAAUAAAAAGAUUAUUGUAAUUUUGAUUUUCUUUUACUUUUUAUUGUUUUUUUUUUAAAGUGAAAGUUUUUCAAUAAAAUACAUAUCGCUUACACAGAAAAUUCCAUGAUUAUUUUUUUAUGAGUCACAUUCAUUGUAAAUUGAAGGCGAAUUGAAAUGUCUCACAUCUAUAUUCUUCACCUGUCGCAUAAGCUAGUUAGCAAGGGAUUUACCUUUUUCAUUAGCUUUGUCAAAAAAAAAAUUAGCAUGCUUGGUAAUGACUUAAGUAUGUGACAUAAGAAAAAUAAUAAUCAUAAGCAUGCCUAAACGAAUAAAAGAAUAGAAGAUUAUGAACAGUUGAAAAAUCAUUUCCAAAAUCAGAGAACUGAGAAUGACUGUCCUCUGAGUGGGCUCACCAUGACUAGCCCAAGUUUGUGCAUAUGUGUAAUUCCAUUGUGAAAAUAGAAAACAUCGUAGUUUACAAAAAAAAACACAUAGUCCGAGUUCAAAUAUCUUACAAUACUAAAAGGGGAAUAUCAAGCCCUCUAAGCAUGUCCACGUCAUCAUAUAAAAUCAACCAAUGAGAAUACUAUGUUUUCUCCACGUUGUCAUUCGCCUCCAACGUGAAACGAUAUGGACUUCUCCUUCUUUGUUAUGUUUAGCCUCCAACUUGAAACUAUAUGGACUUUAUCUAACUCUUUUAUCUUAUGGGCUUUCUUUUUAUUUGUUAUAAGGUAGGUCCGUCAAGAUCAUCAUUUAUAUCAAGCCCUCUAAGCAUGUCCACGUCAUCAUAUAAAAUCAACCAAUGAGAAUACUAUGUUUUCUCCACGUUGUCAUUCGCCUCCAACGUGAAACGAUAUGGACUUCUCCUUCUUUGUUAUGUUUAGCCUCCAACUUGAAACUAUAUGGACUUUAUCUAACUCUUUUAUCUUAUGGGCUUUCUUUUUAUUUGUUAUAAGGUAGGUCCGUCAAGAUCAUCAUUUAUAUCAAGCCCUCUAAGCAUGUCCACGUCAUCAUAUAAAAUCAACCAAUGAGAAUACUAUGUUUUCUCCACGUUGUCAUUCGCCUCCAACGUGAAACGAUAUGGACUUCUCCUUCUUUGUUAUGUUUAGCCUCCAACUUGAAACUAUAUGGACUUUAUCUAACUCUUUUAUCUUAUGGGCUUUCUUUUUAUUUGUUAUAAGGUAGGUCCGUCAAGAUCAUCAUUUUCUCUCACUUAUGUGAUAGUCAAUCAAGAAAUAAGGUGAAACCUAAUUUGAAACCUAGCGAUCCCAUUUCCUUUCCCCCUCCGAAGUAACGCUACGCCGUAAUGUCAUUCAUUCAACACAACCCACUUUCUCCUCUUUAACACAGUUAAGCGCUACCAGAAUGGAAAGUUAUCAGCUCCAUUUGGCCGAAUUGAAGGUCGGCGUAGGCAGGUGGUCAGGCGUGGCUCCUCCGUUACUGGGAGGCUAGGAAUGUCAAAAAAGGUGGACAGUUAAUGGGAGUUUAUAUGCUGCUGCUAGAUGCUAAGGCGUCCAUAAAUGUCCAUCGACUCAACAGUCAACACCUUCCAACAUGUAUCGAGUGAAGGUUCAUCGUAUGAGCUUAUUGUUUUCAAUGUCCCACUAAGCAACCCCAACUUCCACUACAGUGAGAGCCCUCAUGCUAUUUGUUUCACAGACAAAACUGUUUUUGUUGACCUGACUGAACCGUCUGAACCGAUUCCAAAGGAGUGCUUAAUUACCAGAAACUUAUGGAGUUAGCCAAUACGAGCAUUGGUUUACCAGGUGUGGUUCUGUUUAUGUGUCUUUCAAUUUUCUAUAAAAGCUUUA